AUUUUUUACACAAAAAAAAAAAAAAAAACAGGUUUCCACGGUCAUUCCAGUUAAAAUUUUCCAAAUUCUUGUAUCUUUAGGGCAAGUUAGUUUGGUAAUUUCAGGUUCCAUUUAGGAAUCUUCACAAGUUGCUUUACCCAGUAAAGUUGCUUUCCGUUAACAAUACGUGUAAAUUUGAGCUUUCAGAAUGAAAUUUGAGCUCCUUGACAAUUUCCAAGACCUAGAUUUGGUA
rnacentral:misc_RNA from 1 species